CUCCUCUCAUGUCGUCUUGGUCCGUUUUUCUUUUGUUCCUCCUGAUUUUUAAGCCCUUCACAUGUGGGGAGGGUCCCGUGCUCUGCAUCCCUGUCUCCCCAUCCUCUCUGCCCUGGAAGCACGUCUAGCUCCUCUUGUGUCUCAUUUGGGUUACAGGCAUCACCUCCUGAACCUGGCCUCCCACCCUGACGCCUGGCCAGCCGUGCCCCAUGCAGUCCGCGGGACAUGUCCCCACGUCACCUGCCCUGAAUGGAUGCCCAUGACUGUGCACAGUGAUUCCUUGCCAGGGCACCGACAGCCACUGGGGACAUCCUCAAGAUUGCUUCAGUGCCGGCCUGCAGAGACUCCCGAAUGGCCAGGUCACAGGGCUCUGCGGUCAUGGCUGUGCUCCAGUAGCUCUACAUCCAUGGAUUCAGCAGCUCUGGAGAGAAACGUUCCUGGCCGGACUCCUCUCCUUCCCAGACCUGCUGUGGCUUCAAGACAGGGUCACAAACUGCGAUUCUGGUUCCAUCGGGAGGGGAAACCGAUCCCCACCCUACUGGGACAUGGCGGCUCGAUUGUAGGGGAUAGUCCUGUGGGAGCUGGGUCACCCCUGGCUUCCUCUCCCAUCACAGCCGUCGAGGCUCCCAAGCUGGGGAGACACCACACAGGUACUGGGGGAGGGUCCAGGCCCCUGUCCUGGAAUCCUCUGGGGACCCCAGCCCUAACCAGCACGUGAGGUACAUGGCACUGGGCACUGUCAACUGC